GAUCAUGGCUCAGAUUGAACGCUGGCGGCAUGCCUUACACAUGCAAGUCGAACGGCAGCACGGGAGCAAUCCGUGGGUGGGCGGAGUGGCGAACGGGUGAGUAAUAUAUCGGAACGUGCCCGGUCGUGGGGGAUAACGUAGCGAAAGCUACGCUAAUACCGCAUACGAUCUACGGAUGAAAGCGGGGGAUCGCAAGACCUCGCGCGAUUGGAGCGGCCGAUAUCAGAUUAGGUAGUUGGUGAGGUAAAGGCUCACCAAGCCGACGAUCUGUAGCUGGUCUGAGAGGACGACCAGCCACACUGGGACUGAGACACGGCCCAGACUCCUACGGGAGGCAGCAGUGGGGAAUUUUGGACAAUGGGCGCAGGCCUGAUCCAGCAAUGCCGCGUGCAGGAUGAAGGCCUUCGGGUUGUAAAGCUCUUUUACUCGGGACGAUAAUGACGGUACCGACAGAAUAAGCACCGGCUAACUUCGUG
rnacentral:rRNA from 1 species